rnacentral:lncRNA from 1 species
UUUUAACAUGUUAAAAAAUCCCCGAAGGUGCGUCCGAUGUUGAGGGUUCGUAUUGAGUUCGUAUCACCAUCUUCACCAUCGUAAUGUCACCGGGCAUGCAUCUUUGCACAUCGUAUUGCAUUCGUGUUUCCAUCGUUUCCAUCGGGCAGUUUUGACAUUACGAUGUCUACACGAAUGAAUCACGAAGAUACCCGAAGGUCUUACGAUGGCAACACGACUUCGUGAAGACCUCGUAAUCCCGUCGUGUUGCCAUCGAAUAAAAGUACGAAGGCGACAAGAUGGAACUACGACGGCAAUAAAUCCAGCUAAAUGUAAGUUAAUUUUCGCGCUAAAAUACAUUUAAAGUUCUAUGCGCGAUAUGCACUGGUCAGUCUAAUACGACAGUUAAGAAAGACGUUCACAAAACAUGGAGCUCAUAUCAUAUGAUUCUAUGAGAACAAGAAAGGCGACAGCGUUGUUUCUAUUAAUUCAAAUGGAACAAGAAGAGCAGCUAUUACAGGCUCGGGAUUUACUUUUACAAGUAAAAUAUUAUUUUUUGUCAAUUUUUCAUAUCAAGUAACAUAAUGAAAAUCAUAAAACGCGCCUCGUACACCAACACUGCAGGUACACGUAUAUAGGGAAACCAACUUUGUCUUCAUUAUUCUGAUUUUUUAUGUAUCGUCUGAGUUGUUGUCACACGAAUGUUUACUCCAUAACCAUUUUGUUUAGUAUAUGACAUAUUUUGCCGCAUUUGUUGCUUUCCCCACAUCCUUCCUUUUGUCUAUAUUAUUAUGAUAUUCUCCUGGAAAGAGCUCUUUUUGAAUAAAAGGGAUUAACGAACCCAUUACCUUACCUUUAAGAUAGAUCAGUAAACAUGGGCCUAAUUGUGGGUGAUUAUUCAGACUAGUGCAUACAUUUUACAGUUCAAACAAGGCAAUGCCGAGCGUGGCAUCCCCUCGUACGUAUGUAACAUAUUGGGGACAAAUAUGGACCCUAUAUUUGUAUAUGACACAUGCAGAAAAUGGUAAAUUGAAUAUGCAUAUUUGAUACAUAAACUAUUUAGAAAUCAAUCAAAACAUUCAGUAACUGGAAAUACCUUUAAUAUUGUCUUUAGAACCAGCAGGUAAAAAAUGAGCAACCAAUUUCCUGUGUAUAUAUGCUAUUUCAAGGAGAAAAAACAAGUCCAUCUGCAUGACCUUGACCUUUGGCCUUGAACGUAAAAAAUGUCAGAUCAUUACAAGGAGGAACAAUAUACCAAAUGUGGUUAAAAUCUUUUGAAGCAUAUUGGUUUUAGAGUGUCCACAAGGGUGAUAUUGCCUUGUAUUACAACUGCCACUGUAACCUUGACAUUUGAACUUUAAAGUCAAUAGCGCUUAAGAUAUUCCUAACGAGUAACACCAUACCAAGUUUUGAGCAUUUUGGUUCUAGAGUGUCCAUAAUAAUUUUAUCUACACGCAACUUACAUGUAGUAGGCGAGGGGAUAAUAAACUAAGUUUUAUAAGAAUUAGACAAAAAGAUCGAUUUCCUGCCAUGCA